AACGAACGCUGGCGGCAGGCCUAACACAUGCAAGUCGAGCGCCCAGCAAUGGGAGCGGCAGACGGGUGAGUAACGCGUGGGUAUCUACCUAGUGGUGCGGAAUAGCCCAGGGAAACUUGGAGUAAUACCGCAUAAGCCCGAAAGGGGAAAGAUUUAUCGCCAUUAGAUGAGCCCGCGUUGGAUUAGCUAGUUGGUGGGGUAACGGCCCACCAAGGCGACGAUCCAUAGCUGGUCUGAGAGGAUGAUCAGCCACACUGGGACUGAGACACGGCCCAGACUCCUACGGGAGGCAGCAGUGGGGAAUAUUGGACAAUGGGCGCAAGCCUGAUCCAGCCAUGCCGCGUGAGUGACGAAGGUCUUCGGAUUGUAAAGCUCUUUUGGCGGGGACGAUAAUGACGGUACCCGCAGAAUAAGCCCCGGCUAACUUCGUG
rnacentral:rRNA from 1 species